rnacentral:rRNA from 1 species
CCUACGGGAGGCAGCAGUGGGGAAUAUUGGACAAUGGGCGAAAGCCUGAUCCAGCAAUGCCGCGUGAGUGAUGAAGGCCUUAGGGUUGUAAAGCUCUUUUACCAGGGAUGAUAAUGACAGUACCUGGAGAAUAAGCUCCGGCUAACUCCGUGCCAGCAGCCGCGGUAAUACGGAGGGAGCUAGCGUUGUUCGGAAUUACUGGGCGUAAAGCGUACGUAGGCGGUUAUUCAAGUCAGAGGUGAAAGCCUGGAGCUCAACUCCAGAACUGCCUUUGAAACUAGAUAGCUAGAAUCACGGAGAGGUUAGUGGAAUUCCGAGUGUAGAGGUGAAAUUCGUAGAUAUUCGGAAGAACACCAGUGGCGAAGGCGACUAACUGGACGUGUAUUGACGCUGAGGUACGAAAGCGUGGGGAGCAAACAGGAUUAGAUACCCUGGUAGUCCACGCCGUAAACGAUGAUAACUAGCUGUUCGGUCUCUACGAGACUGAGUGGCGCAGCUAACGCAUUAAGUUAUCCGCCUGGGGAGUACGGUCGCAAGAUUAAAACUCAAAGGAAUUGACGGNUGAGAGNGCGAGCGACACGAGGAGAG